ensembl:lncRNA novel transcript
GGUUCCCGCCCGCGCCUCUCCCUCCACACUUCGCCGCAAGCAGAGGGAGCCGGCUCCGGCCUCAGCUGGCCCAGAGAGGGGCUCCCUCAGUGCAGUGGCGAGCUGAAGGGCUCCUCAAGGGCGGCUGGAGUGGACGCUGAGGCCGAGGAGACGCCAAGAGCAAACGAGGGCUGCUAGUACAUUGUCACCUCUCACUGGUUGAUAUUCUGGAAGCAAGAUCUUGGAAGGCCAAGGACAGGUCAUUUCUUAGGACUGUGCAAAAGAGAAUCAGUCUUUACAGUAAGCUAUUUGAUUCUAGUAGUUCUUUCAUCUCAGUCUUUUGAAAGCAACUUCCCCUCUUUAACCAACACCUGCCAUGGCCUCUUCAUGAGCCGAAGAAGGAAAGACAGGACAGAUUCUUAUGACCUGAAACAGCACCUCAACUCUUACCUUGGAUAUUUCUACAUGAAGAAUCUGCUCUGAAACUAUAGCAAACAAUCACAGAGUGUUUGAGUGUGAGUCCAGACUGGUUCGGGAAGACCAAGAAGCAAUGAUGAUGUCUGUUUUUGUCAAAUGUCUGAAAACUAUUUUUAUUUUUCUAAAACUUUGUUCAGAAGUCUCAAUAUUGUAGUGUAUAGAGAUGUACACUAAUUUAGUGAUAUGAAGAUGAAGGGCUUUAAGCCUGUGUUCCUUGCAGGCAUCUCAGUACCUAGGAACUCCAAAGAACAAACUGUUGCUCGUGCAAAAUUAAAUUUCAUAAAACAGCAAAGAA